UUCCUCAUUCUUGGCCCUAUCUCAAAGAUUUUUUCGAAAUAGUCGGGAGCAAAAAUGACUCGUGGAAAAUGCAGUGCAAACUCUGCACACCCAAGACCCACGUUAUUUUGGCAUUCAAGAACUCUCCCUCCAAUUUGAAAAAACAUGUAGAGAGAAAACACAGAAAUCAUCUGGAGAGAUACAAAGCCCUCACUUCAACGGCCCCAAAAAGAAAGGCAGACGGAGCACCACCACAGCAAGGCCCAGCAACCAAACAAGCCAGAUUAUGGGGCAGCAGGCCAGUGUCCCAGGCCAGUGUCGAUAAAAAAAAAUCCUUAACUUUAUUGUGCAAGGUCUACAUGCAACUAAUACAGUGGAACAGCAGGGGUUUAUAGAUCUCAUACAGCAUCUCCAGCCCAAUGUAAAUGUCAUGUCCCGCAACACUGUAGUCAACAAAAUUCAGAAAGCCUCUCUUGAAAUGAGAAACAAUCUGAAAGCAGCAAUGA